GACGAACGCUGGCGGCGUGCUUAACACAUGCAAGUCGAACGGACAGGCCCUGCUUUUGUGUGGUUCUCGAGUGCCGAACGGGUGAGUAACACGUGAGUAACCUGCCCUUGACUUUGGGAUAACUUCAGGAAACUGGGGCUAAUACCGGAUAGGAGCUCCUGCUGCAUGGUGGGGGUUGGAAAGUUUCGGUGGUUGGGGAUGUACUCGCGGGUUAUCAGCUUGUUGGUGGGGUAGUUGCUUACCAAGGCUUUGACGGGUAGCCGGCCUGGGAGGGUGACCAGCCACAUUGGGACUGAGAUACGGCCCAGACUCCUACGGGAGGCAGAAGUGGGGAAUAUUGCACAAUGGGCGGAAGCCUGAUGCAGCAACGCCGCGUGCGGGAUGACGGCCUUCGGGUUGUAAACCGCUUUCGCCUGUGACGAAGCGUGAGUGACGGUAAUGGGUAAAGAAGCACCGGCUAACUACGUG
rnacentral:rRNA from 1 species